rnacentral:rRNA from 1 species
AGGCCANGUNUAUUNNGGGCCGGCAGCGGGGGUAAUAAGUAGGUGGCAAGGGUUUUUNNGAAUUUAUUGGGAGUAAAGGGNUGGCCGGCGGUUUAUUAAGUUUGAUGUGAAAGCCCCCGGGUUUAACCGGGGAGGGUUCAUUGAAAAAUGGGGAAACUUGAGUGCAGAAGAGGAGAGUGGAAUUUCCACGUGUAGCGGUGAAAUGCGUAGAGAUGUGGAGGAACACCAGUGGAGAAGGCGACUCUCUGGUCUGUUACUGACGGUGAGGAGAGAAAGCGUGGGGAGAGAANAGGAUUAGAUACCCUGGUAGUCCACGCCGUAAACGAUGAGUGCUAAGUGUUAGGGGGUCUCCGCCCAUUAGUGCUGCAGCUAACGCAUUAAGCACUCCGCCUGGGGAGUACGGUCGCAAGACUGAAACUCAAAGGAAUUGACGGGGGCCCGCACAAGCGGUGGAGCAUGUGGUUUAAUUCGAAGCAACGCGAAGAACCUUACCAGGUCUUGACAUCCUAUGACAAUCCUAGAGAUAGGACGUCCCCUUCGGGGGCAGAGUGACAGGUGGUGCAUGGUUGUCGUCAGCUCGUGUCGUGAGAUGUUGGGUUAAGUCCCGCAACGAGCGCAACCCUUGAUCUUAGUUGCCAGCAUUCAGUUGGGCACUCUAAGGUGACUGCCGGUGACAAACCGGAGGAAGGUGGGGAUGACGUCAAAUCAUCAUGCCCCUUAUGACCUGGGGUACACACGUGGUACAAUGGACAGAACAAAGGGCAGGGAAACCGCGAGGUUAAGCCAAUCCCACAAAUCUGUUUUCAGUUCGGAUCGCAGUUUGCAACUCGACUGCCUGAAGCUGGAAUCGCUUGUAAUCGCGGAUCAGCAUGCCGCGGUGAAUACGUUUCCCGGGCCUUGUACACCCCGCCCGUCACACCCACGAGAGUUUGUAACACCCAGAAGUCGGUGAGGUAACCUUCAUAAGGAAGGCCCAAG